CCGACUUGUUAACUGGUAUCAUCGCAUCAGGCUACGACAAAGCCAGCAAGCAGCAAGGCAUGAUGAUGUUGUAGGAAUCGAGUGGCGUCUUGUUUUUCAGGAGCGUGUUUUCACCCCCUUCCCCUUUUCACCACAUCCGGAAUGGCGGCAAUUUUUGCCGUCCACCAAUUCCUACCGGAUCUGUUUCUGAGGCGAAUUUCGUGGCCGAUUAUGGACAGCAGGAAUCGUGAGAAUUCACAAGAACCCGCAGAUUCACGUUCAGUCGCUCGAUAACAAGUUUUGUCUAGCCAUGAAGGCUAACCAUAUAAGCGGUAGAUUGUGUCCUUCCAGAGGAGGAAAUCUACUUCUAGACUUUUAGAAUCAGCAUCUCCAUAUCUUUGGUGUCAACGUGGUGAAAUGAUGUCUGAAGAUCUUUGACUUGUUUGUCCCCACAUGCUUGCAUGGUGUGAAAUACGAUCUGCCUGAAACAGGUAAUGUUUUAUUUUGAAAAGAAGCCAAAUGUUUUAUUUUGUGUCUGUGUCCGACUUCCUUUCCAACAUGGGUUCAUCUGUGCUGAGUUUAUGUGCCAUGCUGCGGCGUCUGGAAAAAACAGAACUCUUGUGAUCACCUGCGGAACGGAAAGAAGCCGGUGGAAAUUGACACAAUGACUUAAACGGCUACGAUAAGUUGUGAUCGGCGGAAAUGACCUUUUCGUAGCCGUUCUGGAUGCGGUGGAAAUUGGGGGUUAGGGUGUUUGCACUGCCUCCCCUUGCACUUCAGCUUUAAUGGAGAAAGAGAAGAAAGAAGAAACAAAACACAGAGAGAGGCUUUGGAGAAACUGGGGAGGCUUACGUUCAAACACCCUGGAAACAGACAUCUUUGUGCUAAUAAGAGGUCGCAUCAUUUUAUGUAAAUUUCAGUAUAUAGUGACUAUAUGCUUUGUUAAAACACAUCCCACUCUCGUUGAACAAUCUUUAGCUGGAAUAUAUUGAGUUUGAAUUAUAAAUGUAAAACGCUAAGUGCUCAAACCUCCUACAUUCCUUUAUGCAUAGAGAAAAGCACACACGAGCAGCAUCAGCAUUAACGUCAGUCAUUUGAUGUUAAUUUUAUGACUUUUAUUUUUGUUGCCGAUGAUUUCUAUUAACUGCAAAUCACGGAAUAAUCACAGAGACUACGGCCUGAAGACAGGCUUAUACGACGCUUUAUUGAUUGCAGUUAAAUGGCAAAUUAAGUCGUCAGUGUUGCAGGCAGACGGUGGGUUUGGUUCAAUUAAAAACGUCAUCAGUUUCAGCAUCAACAUGGUUCAGCUCUCCAGGUGGUAUAAAACGGGCCAUCCACUGCAGACAUGCUUUUAUUGCUCUGAAUGUGGCACACAAUGUUAAGAAAACACCUACGCUGUCACAGAAGUGUCGCUUUUGAAGACAUUAUCUGAGGAGAACAACAAAGUAUAGAAAUUAAAUCUUCUCACAACAACAGGGAAUCUAUAAAAGCAUUGAUUGCAGUUCAUCAGUAUGUGUUUGGGCAUAUAUUCUGGAAAUCCAUAACAUGCUGAGUUAGAGUUUGGAUUCAAAACAAAAGAUUCACUGAAGCUAAAUAUACCGAUAAAAAUCUGAGUCAUAUGAAAUAACACUUUCAGAACAAAAUAGGAGGGGAAACGUCGGUGCCAGAUAAACAAAAAGUAUCCUCUCUCAGCGAAAGUGUCAUGUUGCCAUGGCUACACACCUACAGCUUGUAUUUAUGAAAGUAAUUUCAUUUGCAAAUGAAACCAACACCACUAAAGCCAAUCUUAAGAGGGUAGACAACAGCUUUUACUCUGCCCGCGGUUCAUGUCCUGCAUAUUUUAAAGUUUAACGAGUGAAGUUAGCCCUCCGCCUUGUGCCUCACGGUCUGUUAUAAGUAGCUGGAGUCAUGUCCGAGAGUGCAUGGGUGGACCAGCAUGUGGGUGAGCACUUGCCAGGUAGAGAAAGGUAUUGCUGUCUGUAGGUGGAGGUUAAAUUUUGUGUUUUUCCGCAUGAAGAGGCAGAACAGUGAGAGAGGCACCGAGGAGAAAAGAGAGAGGAGAUAAAAAUGAGGGAGGGAGCUCUUCAGCCUUGCCAGAGGAUCAGCGUGUGGGCCAUUAGCAUACUUGACCUAGCACAACUUUAUUAGGUCAAAGGGGAUUUUUCUUUUUUAAAUUCUGUCUCCUUUUCCAGCGCAGACUUCACUGACGCCGUACAGUGAUGAGUGUGAUAAGUGACGCUUUAAUGUAAAACAGGAGCUUUGAAAAGCAAACCUCACGCCCUGAGCUCGUGACCUUUGGCUUAAAAUGAGCUUAUCACACUUGAUCUCCACGUUUGCUCUCAUUUAACUGACAGCACACAAAACUUCAGGUCGAUGUAUGAUGGCCGAUACCGGGAGCUGAGUCGAAGAGACAUUAAUCAAACUGAAGAAAACAAUGACAGACAAAAUAAUGAGGAGGAUCUCAUGCGGGUGCUGCUGGUGUUUCUACAUUUGUUAAGAAAUACCGUGUGACCAAAGGAUGGAGAUCAAGACCAGGUCUAAUAAAAACCUGAUUCUACAUGUUUUAAAACCUGAAAUCAAUCACAUUUGAGCUAAUUGAUUCUGCUAUUGAGUCUUGAGGGUCCCAUGAAAUAAUGUUAUACUUUAAGUCACGUCAUGUUAACUAAAUAAGUGGUGCAUGAUCAUUAAUAGACCGUCUAAUAAAGUUUUUUUGUUCUUUUAGGAAGAAGAAUUCUGGUGGUCAGAUGUUUGACGAGGUCCCAACUGUGUCUAACUCGACAUUAAUCUCUCAAAAGCAGCUGCUUUCAGGACAAAGGUACAAUCAUCUCUGACUGUUUGCAUUUUUAAGAUGGUCUUUUUUUAGACUUGUCAUCUCCCAUUACUUAACUCUCUGUGACACAGUAUUUCUUGGCAGCUUGACAUUGAUCGUAGCUGCAUUAGUAACUGUUAUAUUAAAAUCAGCUCUUUUAGUCCGCCUGUUUUAUAACCUGAACUAUUUUUGGAGCCAGACUAUCACUAGGUGUUUCCUUUUUUCAUCUCUUGUUGCUGUGGUUGCAGGUGAUCCCUGGCAGAACUCAUUGAGGGUACUCUCCCUUUACAAAGAGGUGGUGCUGUCUGAUACUGGCAAUCAAAUUUAGGUCUAGACAAGGACAUUUAAAGUAUCUUCUGUGUUAGAUAGAAAUGUUAUAGUGUGAAAUAUUUCACAGUAUUUGUGCUUUUUAAAUAUUUGUCAAAGCACUUUGUAAACUUCAGUUUUUAAAAGUGCUAAAAAAUGAAGUUAUUAUUAUUAAUAUUAUUAUUAUUUACUUUAACAUCUUACUGAGCAAUAGAUGGAUGUUAGACAUUUAGUUUUUUUUAGACCUAAUUUCAACCGCUUAAACCCAUUAUUCCACAACUAUUUACUUCAAAAAGUAACUGUGAAUUGCAUAACUGAUCUCCAAGUACGUAACCCAAUUAAUUAGGAUAGCUGCUGAGCAAUAUACAGUGUAGUAUAGAUAUAGCACUGAUAUAGACUUGGUCUAAAUUUAGACGUCUAGAAAACCUUUAUUUUCAGACCUGUGGUAGCCUGAUUUUAGAGCAGUCAUCUAGGUUACAUUUAGACGUCUAUUAGACCUUUUUUAGACCAAAAAAUGCUCAGUGAGAUGGCUUAGACCAUGAUCACAAUCACAUGGUAUGGAGCCCAAACAGAACAUACAACACAGGUAAUGUAGUUACAGCACACUGCAUGGCUGUUGGACAAAAUAAUGAAAGGAUAUAACAGAAUAUAAAAAGGUGUAAAAAGAGUUCAGCAGGUGGAGCAGGCUUGUAAAAAUAAUCUCUGCAGAAUCAUACAGAGCAAGGCUCAAACUACUAAAUAUGGAAUUACUGCUACUAGAGAACAGAACAGAAGACCUUUCAUGAAUAAAAUGAAAGCAUGUUUACAUGGUCUGGUGUCAAGAAAGUCUGGCAGGAGAAAACACACAUUUAGUUGAGAAAUCUCUCAUGGCUGCAGCCCUUUGACGAGCGUCUGUCGUCUGUUGGUCGGUUGUUUUACACUGAAACAUGCUCUAAACUUAAAACAUUGCCCUGAUAGAUCUGUUUGAUAUGUUAUCUGUACCUGACAGUAAAUUGAACAAAAAAUCCUUUUUAUCAAGACUCAGUUUUAUGUUAACAUCUCUAGUGUAGACCUCAAAUACAAGAUAAUUCAAUUUUGAGUUGUAUUCAAGGAGAAAAGAAACCUAUUACUGCUUUUCACAAGUUUAUGUCAGUCUUUUUCUCGUCUAUCAUAUUUCUCUCUGCAGCUUCCUUUCCUCAACAAUGCCCCCGAACCAUUAAAAUCACCUGCGCUGGAAAAUAUCAGAGGUCCAAUUACUGAAGGAAAAAAAAAGCUCAUAAAGGGUUUCAGUAGAGAGGACAAAUGAGUGAACAGAUUAGGAGGGCAGAUGGAAGAAAUAAAGCAUCAAUGAGGAAAGAUAUGGAUGAGAUGGAAAGGGAGAAAUGGACAGCAGGAGGUCCUGAGGAUAGAGGGAGAAGGGGGUGUAAAUCUGGUUUAAUGGGUGGAAACAGGUCCUCAGGUGUCUAUAACAGCACACGCACACACACAUACUGUAUAUACACAGUGGCCACAACUUACAAGGAAAGACAAGUGUGUGUGUGUGUGAUCUCAGUAUGCGGCUGUAAAAAUGCAUGAAUCUGUGGGAGGUGAGCUGUAUGCAAAAGAGGAAGGGUGUAUUUUAUGCGAUGGCAGAUUAAUGAGCCUUAAUAGCAGAUUUGUGAUCAAAGGUAGCUGCUCGGUGAGUUACCGCUGAGGUGUAAAGAAGAAAUGUGUCUCUCCUUGUAUUGUACUUUGCCUUCAGCGGUGGAAAAUUUACUGCCUCAGUUCUUUUAACCUUAAAUUUAUCAGGAAAGUGAUAUGUAAACCACCCUCGACUCUGAUAUUUAUGCCCUUUAUGUCAGGACAGUUUUUUCUUCUUUUUUCAGGGGACUUUAGGUGCACUACCAAACUAGUCAAGACUGUGUUGCUGUUUUUAUAUGAUCUAUUAUCCUGUUGAUGACUCGGUGUAAUCUUUCUCAAUAAAACCCCAUCAAUAACAAGGACAGGAUUUCAAUCAGCACGGACGAGAUAAUUGGUAGAUAAAUGAUGAGAGUAUUAUUAGUAUUAUGUUUAUUGAUUGUUUGCUGGAGAUGAAUCAAGACAAAUGCAGGUUGUCAGAUAGAGCCGUUUGUGAAUUUUACCUCUGGCCUCAAGUAACUGAGACGGCAUUGAUUGUGAGCAGAUUAGAUGGACUGACUGGACCGUGUCCCACUGUGAGGAGUUGAUGAUAAUGAUAAUAACACAGGAGGUAAGCGCAACAGUUUGUGGAGGAGGCAGGGAAUAAAAGAGCAGCAGGGUGCUGAGAAAAGCAAGUGAAAAAGACGAGAAAAUGACAACAACUAAACAACAUAAUCAUAAGAGCCAACUGUCAGAGAACAGUAAUGUCGACUUUACUGGGAACAAGUUUGGACAUGAGUCUUCUUGACUUUGGUUCUGGGUGUAAAUGAUGUCUAGACUUUUAAAAUGAAUUUCAGAGGAGUAAAGAUAAGUAAAUGCUACAGUGAAGUCAAGAAAUAAGGUAUUAAAAAACUCCACUGUGUCCACAAAGAUUGUCUGCAAACGAUAACAACAACUUUGCUUUAAUUCUGAGAAAUUUACAGACCCGAACUUGGAGAAAAAAAUGAAUUUUAUCCAGUUUGUUGUCACCUCUUGGUUUGUGCACGACUGACCAUAUUUGGACAAGGGUAUGGAGCUACAAUAGAGAGAGUUCAGCCCCGUAUAAUAUUAGCUUUAGCUCAGUAAGUGGUUCAGUUAACUGGUCUCAGCUAAAAUGUUUGGUGAUAUAUAUAUUUUGCGUACUUCCAUAAAAUGUCUACAUCUUUUUGUAGCCAGUGAAGUCUCCCCCUGCUGGUCAUAAAAAAGAACACACUCCCUUAAAGUUUAAUUUUUCAGCUCGAGGCUAUGUCCACUCAUAGACUGUAUAUAGAAUGGACACCGUCUGCCCCCUCUCUGGGUGGAGCCACUCCGAGAACAGCACCCUCUGGUGACGGGCUGCAGUAUAGGUCAUAAAUCCCGCCUCCUCCAGCAAUCCCUAUGGAGCUGUGGACAAACUUUAUAAAUUUAUUACACAGAAUAUAAAUGUUUCUCCCCCCUGCUUGUGAUGUUGACAUGUAGUUGAUGUCAGACUGGUUUGUGCCCAAGUCCUCUUUUUUCUGUGAAGCUCCAUUUUUAAAAGUUAUUAGGGGGUUCAUGUUCUCUAUAAUUGACACCUGAUAAAGCCUACAGGUGUACGAAGAUUGCGUAGCUCACCCGGGGAUACGCUGUUUGAGCCAAGCGUCAUCACAGUAACUCUCUGCGAUGAAGUGCGUACGACGCUACUGCACAAUGUUGGUUUCAGGAAAUGGAGAAAAAUCACAGAAAUACUGCGAUUCGUCUUCAAAUCCAUUUACUGGCAGAAGGUGGAACCAAGUUGUCCAUAGUGUAUACAGUCUGUGUGUCCACCUCUUUUAGCUAAAUUCGUCACUAUCAGACUCAUUUAUUUUAGCAUUUUAAUAUUAAAUUCAGUUUGUCUCUUGGUAAUUUUCCUUGACAUGCUUGUAGUGAGUGAUUGUUAAGUUAAACAAAGGGUUAAAAAGUCAUCUCAAAAUUGUGUCAGCAUGUUGUGCAGGUGACUGUUUUUGCCCUUCACUACCUACCUUUUUCUACUCCUAUAAAUCAUGUGCACACCACUUUCUCUCUCUCUCUCUCUCUCUUUCUCUCUUUCUCUCUCACCCUUUCUUCUUCUUCUCCUCCAGAUGAGCUCUGCCAAAAAAGGCUGAGUCACAGUUGGCUCUCUGCUCCGAAAGUCUAUUGUCAUCCAGACAUUCAGCCCUUCUCCCCUCUUCUUCUCUCCUGGCUCGCUGAUUUCUUAUUCCCUCUCUCUUUUUUUUUUUGCUCUUUCAUCUUUUGUCCUUCUUUUGGCUCAGGUGCGGGUGUCUUUUGUGUGAAACAGUGCGUGAGAAUACUGUCCUCGGAUCUCAUAGGAUUAUGCAAAUAAUAUUCAUGCUAGCAAACACAAGGACUGUAGAAAACGCGGACACAAACACGCGCACAUGAAUUGUUUUCAGCAUUUAAUUUCUUAAAGAAGCAAAGCGUUGAAAAUGAGAAUAAUUCAUGAUAAAUAUGAUGAAAUAUUGUAAUGCUAUGGUUUGCUGUACUUCAUUCAGUCUCCAUCUCCCUCAGGAGGUCUUUUUCUGUGUUUUGAAAAUUUGCUGUCAUGUGCAAUCAGAGACGAAGUCGAGGAGGAAAACAUGACCUAUUUUGAGUCUUGAUUUGAUGCGUUUUUUCCUUCAUGGAUAUUUCAUAAAGAAGAAGGAAAGGUGCUGAGUUUGUUGCGGGAUGGAUCGAGAUCAGAGCAUAUGCAUGAGUUAUAAACCAGACUGGAGGAUACUGAAGAUGGUGGUCGCUUUAAAUUGUUAAAAAAUGCUGCUUGAGUCUGAAAUGUGACAUGAAGCUUUGCAGCUUUCGAGGUGUUGUGGUUUGGCUCGUGCCUGUCUGUGGCCAGGACUUCCUCUUUUGUGAUUUUAUUUAUUUAUUUAAUAAACCUACAGUGAAAAGGAAAAAUCUGCUAUGUUAUCCAGAAUACAACUGCAUGAAAUGUGCUGAUAUGGAUGUUUACUGCAUUCACUGAGAGGAAUACACAGCAUCUGUUGAAUCUGCCGACAACAUUAUCAAACAAGCAAAUGUUGAAACGUUCAGAUUAUAAUGAGACAUUCAAAGUGACGGCAGCUGCAGCACACAGUAUCUACAUGUAAGAAGUCUGUAUGAAUGUUUGAUUUCACUGGAGGAUUAAGAUCAUUUUUAAAAAUCUGUAAGAAAGAAAAGUUGCAGCUGUAGACAGCACUGGGUCCAAUCUGCUCUCCCAUUUCUUACCCUUAUUGUUUUCUCAAUGUGUAAUAAACAUACAUCAGUAAACUGCAGUAAAAGCUGAAACCAAAGCCCCACUGUAAAAACACAAGGACAGCAAAUCACCAGUGUGUGAAACUGCUGUAAUUUCAGGGAGAUAAGUCAUACAGUAAUGUAGUUAAACUUUAAUCUGCUCUGGCUAUGCUCUAAAAAAAACUAUGAGCUUUUCAGUGAAGUAAUUCAAGGUUUACUCUGCUGAAAGUGGGUAAGUCCAAGCCGAAUAUAUGCACAUGUAGAAGCUUCUAAUUGGGGAUUGAAUGGACAGUUUCAAGACAAAAUAUUGAUGUUAUUAAUAAGUCAUUAGUAUAGAAAUACGAACUUUUGAUGAUUUGUUUUUGGUCAAACUUUGGUCCAAAAAAGACAUGCUUCCCAUAGGUGUCACUGUUUUGUGCUGUCAAGCAUUUUUAAAAAUAAAAUAGGAUUAAAAAUUAAAGCUCCUGUAAGGAACUUUUGUGGAUUUUGGAGGGAUUUGGUGUCUCCUGUGGACACUGUAGUCUAUUAUUAUCUUGUCCUCUGCAUGAAUUAGAUUAAGAGAGCUCAUCCUGUUGACUUUUGACAGUCAGAUGUAUCAAUAAUUGGGGUUUUUUUGUAUGAAAAUUGUUCAAGCAAGUCUGUUUUUUCCUUUUUCGGGGCUGACACCUGCCUUCUUACACUGGUUUCAAAUAUUAAAAAUAUUCUAAAAUAAAAAUAAUCAUCACUGAUGGUUUUGUUUGCUUCUGGGUGUCAUUAAAAGGCAGGAAAAUAAAUUUUAGAAUGAAAAAAAAUCUCUCAGGAGCUUUUUAGUUUGAUUUUAAAUAAACUGCAGCCAGCGUGCUUAAUUUGAAGAGCUGAAUUGCAUGUGAACUGUAUACAUGUUCACAUGAGAAAAUCCUCUAGAGUAGCAAAGCUGCAAUCACAGCAAGUUACCCUGAAGCAGCUUUCAUUUCACGUACAUGCUUCACCAUGAAGCGUAGAGUCACUCAUAUGAAUAUAACAUAGAUAUUUCUCUCUUUCAUCCCCAUAAGACACUUGAGGGUGAUAAGUGCAGCAGCAGCAGCAGAGAGUGAGAUGGGAUCUUUGUUUUUAUGGAUAUGGUUCAAAGCAUCACCCCUCAUCUCCAUCCAGCCGUGUUUCUUUGGCCCUGUGGAAAGAAACGUGCGUAGAUAGAUUGUGUAUGAGUGACAUUUCUGGGCCAUUAACACCCGUCGCCAUUCCCGUUCAAGCAAUCCAGUGAUGAAUUUUACAGAAGUCAAUUUAGUAACCUGACAUUUUAGUUCUCCAUUUAAUGCAAGCCCCUGCGGUUCUGUCCUCUGUCAAACAGCCUCUGAAGGGAACAAUCAAACACGAAGCAGAGAUAAAAAUAUGAAGUUUUGUUAAGAAAUAUCAAAGAAGAGCUGCUCUGAGUCUUGUUGAGCUCAUGCAAAACUUGUCUUUAAAAUCUCUCAUGUUUGUCGAGGGUUCAACAGCCAGCAGCUGCAGAGUCAGUCUGGAAAGAGAACUAUAUGUAAUAUGAGAAACUGUGUCAAUCAGAGACUUAACAGGAUACUUAACAGUUUGUUCUGGUGUCUAAAGUGUGUAUUUUAUUAAAGGGUACAUAUUUUUCCCUCCAGACUAGGGAGAGGACUUGACAAGAUUUUAUUGAUAUCGAUUCUGCUUAUCGAUACAAUUCUUUAACGAUUCCCUUAUCAAUGCCUCUCAAGUAGACUAUAGGUUUCACUGUUAACUCAAAAUUUUAUUGAGUCUCUGAUAACAGAAAAAGAUGUACGCCACCUUCAGUGAAAGUCUAAAAAUAAUCACUUCACUUCACUUAAACUUUAUUAUGUCCCAAAAAUGGGCAAAUCGGGUUGCAGCAGGCACAGGCAUUUAAAACACUGCCAUAUGUCAUAAAAAAUAAUAAAAUAAAAUAAAAUACAUCUACAUAAAAAGCAGUUCAGGAGGUAAAAAGUAUCAAAGAUGAUUUAGAAAGUAAAAAAAGAAAGUACUUUCGCAUGAACAGAGUGCAUAAGAUAAAAUGCAAAAAUCAAACGACAAACAAUUUGUUGCGCAUUUACUUUGGUGCUAUCAAGUCAAAUAUAUAGUACGUUGUUUCGUCUGGCAUUCAUUGUGCUUAUGUCAACACAGGACAUGCACCUUCCAUGCCGUGCUGAGACAGAGCUGCAGCGGCUGACGACCGGCGGAGAGCAUUGAAUACAUGUGAUUCCUUAUAUUUGAUGCCGUGCCCCGCUGACAAAUGUUUAAGCAUGUUACUGGUGUUUUCACCUUUGCAUGUUAUCACUGCUUGACAAACGUUGCACAUCGCGAUGUUGUCAUCUCUCUUAGUAAAAUUAAGCCACACUUUAGUUUGUUUCUGCCUACUUUUUGUACCGUCCGCCAUGUUUUUUUCCUUAAAGUCUCUGUUCUCGUUCAUGUAGACCAGCACUCGACCAUUUUUCAAGGCACCUGGAGGAAAGGAAUCGUUCAGGGAAUUGUUAAGAUAAAAUGUAAAUGAUGUCGAUGAAUUGAACCAUUUGGAAACGGUUCUCAAUUCCCAUCCCUAUUCCAGACAGGUAAAUCAAUUCUGAAAUUCCAUUUAUUUUCAUUUGGUUCUCAUUCUUAAUCCUUGGACUCUGAUCAAGUCUCUGUACAUGGUGUUUUAUUUUUGAAUAGACUCGAUGGUACGUGCCAUUCUUGUGUUUGGUUUCCUAGGUCAGUCUUUGUUGUUCAGCUUGAUAUCUGCUAAAUUUUCAGAACUAGCCUGAGCGCAGUGGUGGUGAUUGCCUGGUGGUCUCAUCGCCCUGAAUAUAAAGAUUAUAAUCCUUGUUGCAUUGGUCUCUAGUUGGCAAAUGACCUUGACUGCAUGUCUUUCCUCACUCUUUAGGGAACCAGCAAUCGGCAACAAGUCCUCUACCUUGCAAAUCCUAUCAAAGUGUUAUAAGUAGUUGAUUGAUUGACUCUCAUUAAUAAACUCCUGCCAAGUCCAGACAGUGUCAGAACCUGAUUGAGAGGAGUUCAAGAAUGAAAUGCUGAAAAACACUGAUAGUUUUGAAAAUGCUAGUUUUUACAGUUGUAAAAUCAGUCUCCACAGUCUUCUUGUGUUAAACAAAUUGAAGAGGUUUGGUACAUUUGUAUUGGUUCGGUAGUUUAACAAUGAUAAAGGCAGUCUGCAGCAGAGAUUGUGUAAUGUUGAAAAUGAACAUGAAGAAUAAGUUUGCAGUUUCCUAACUCUCCUGUGGUCCUUAUUCUAAAAUGUUAACAGCUCAGCACUCAGACCAACGACUUUAGAGAGAUUGAUAAAGUUUUCUGAACUCACAGAACAACUUGUACACACACACACACAAACACACACAAAACACAAUGAUCAAUUAUACACAAGGCAGCCAGGUAAUAUAAUGUGAGGUCCAUUAAUCCUGAUAACUUUGUCACUGUGCCAGCUGUCAUUUGCUGUGUGUGUGUCUGUGUGUGUGUGUGUAGGUGUUUGUCUGUGGAGAAGCAGGUGUAGCAGGGGAGGGGAGUGACGGGGUUUCCCUCGCUGGAGUCUGGCUGCAGACCUUUUUGGAUAGCCUGAGGUACAGAGCCUCGUUUUUCAUGUCGACAGCUCUGCUUAUGGCUCUGAUACUUUCCCUUGAUUAUGUGUGUGUGAGUGCGUGUGUGUGUGUGUGUGAGGCCAUGACUUUUAAGAGAGAUCAUUUGCAUAUCCAGACCCCGUGGCACUUCCCAGCGCUUUCUCAAUCAGAAGCUUUUUGGGGUUUGGUUUGAAUAAUGAAAGUUAUAAAAGAUGUAAUUCAUUCACGGACCAAAAUAGUAAAAGCAAAAUGAAACCCCUCAGGUGUUACUGUGUCUGCCGCGUGUGUGCGAGCUUGGUUUGUGAUGGUGUUUGUGAAAAACCUAUUACAGCCGAUGGACCAGAGUGAUAGCCUGCUCUCAGCUUUAUAGCGGCUGAUGGCUGUGUGUGUGUGUGUGUGUGUGCAUAAUGCAUGGAUCACGAUUUACAGAGAUAGCCUUGGGUAAUUAGAAAAAUACUAUCGCACUAUUUGCAAACAAGAUCAAUUUAUCAGUGUUUUCUUGUGAUCAAAAGCACUUUGCAUGUAAAUGUGCGGCAUUAACAUUAACGGUCUCCAAAGUGUUUAGCGUUGUUUAGUAUCAACAUACGUUUCUUGUUUUUGUGUGUUCCAUUAUCAUCCGUUUUCACAGCCGCCCUGUUUUUAUGUUUGGUUUCUCUAUCUCAGCGAGGCUUACGUUUUUGUGUGUGUGUGUAUGUGCAGACACGUGUCGUCGAGCAUGUGAUAUCCAUCAAGAACAGCAACCAUUUCCUCCGAGUACAGUGUCAACAAACACUAUCAGGGGACCAGUCAGCAGUCCAAUGAAAGAUGCACCUGGGUGUUUUUCCCCCCCUGCAGAAAGGCUUGAUGUAUUUGUCUACCGAGACACAACUGUGUGUGUUUGCGUCUGCCGCGGUGCUCUCAAAAGAAAUAGAUUUCACAUCUACUGUUGCUUACAUGCGUUUACUCUUUGUCUCUGGAGAUGGAUGAUUCCCAUCACUGCGCCGUGUGCGUCAUGUGUGCGAGGGUAAAGGACAAAUCAUGAGAGCGGGAGGGACAGAGAGGAGGACAGGUGAAGAAGAAAAGGUGUUGAGAGAAUUUUCAUGUUUUCCCCGUCAUUAUUUUUUCCUCCUGUCAGUCUGUCUCUCUCAGUCUGCUUCUAUUUUAAGCUCCCUGCUCUGCUUUGAGGUAAUUAUAAUAAUUCAGAAAAGCAGCAUGAACAUGUAAAAGCCUUUCAGCAAAGACAAGCCACCAAUUCUACCUCCAAUAAACUUCAAAUUUGUCACAUCUUUGGCUUUCUGCAUUAGUGGUGGGAAGAACAGUUCUUUGGACCGUACUGACUCUUUAAAAAUCCCUUCAUUAAAAUGAUUUGUUCAAAAGAUUCGUUCACCGAAUCAGUCAGUGCUUCAGAGCCCCGGAGUUCGUUCAGUGAACGAGCCCCUCCCCUCCUCUCUGCUGCUGAAGAAUCUCUCCCCUGCCCUGAAAAACUGACCUCUCUGUGUGCUGCCGACAUGCACAUCGCGACACGAGUGAAACAACACAACAGCAAUCAGCACGUCUGCUAAACAAGUGCGAGAUGUUGAUCUUGUUGUUGAAAAGAGAGUCUGCUUUUACUUUGUGAGGACGUGCUGUUGACUGACCAAAGUUUCUAACAUGUCAGAAAAUCAUCUUUGAUCAGCCUUUGUGCUCCACAGUCAGGCACUCUGCUGUCACUACUCCUUUGUACUUUCAGACAGGACCACAAAAUAACAUUAGUCAGUCCACAUGCUCACAGCAAAGUCCCAUCUGGUUUUCCGGUGAAGUCUUACCUCAGUCUGCAUGUAUCUGCCGACCUUCAACCACUCUUAAAACAGCAUGUGUCACUCUGCUUCUCAUCUCUCUCCUCUGGAUUCCAGUUGGAGCUCAUAUCAAAUACAAAACUCUACUUCCUGCUUACAAAACAGCAGGAAAAAUGGCUCCUGUCGACCCUAAUCUGGAUUCCACAAUCCACCAAUAAUGAAAGGUUCCUAGUGCUCCCAUCACAACAGGGCACCAAGUCCCUAGCUAUAGGCUCUUUUCCUUCUUUGUCCCCCCAGUGGAGGAGUGAAUUACCAAACUCCAUUAGAUCUCCAGAGUCCCUUUCUCUAAGCUCUUUGGGGAACACCUACACGCCUCAGUAUAGCUCUUCUCCCCUGUAGUCCCCAGUGAUCGAGCGAGUUAUCUAACCACUUCUGAUCCACAAAGUCUCUUUCUACUUGUUAGAAAUUUCCAAACCUAGCUCCUUUUGAACAGCUCAGCACUCGGUAGUUUGGUGCUACCAAGCGGAAAAACCUCUUUAGGAAUGAGGCCGAUUCAGAAGUGCUAAAAAUUGCAGUUCCCCGAGUGCCCACUUGAGGCAGAAAUAGAAACAGCGGGAACCACAAACACUAUAACCCCCAAUUUCUACCGCUUCCGAACCCAUCCAGCAAUUUACAACCAGGAGAUAGAUGAAACUGUAUUUAUUCACCACAGCCCAAACAUGUUAUCCGAAUAUCAUGACUUCUGACCCCCAAAACUAAGACUCUAAAAGUGAUCUCGCCCAGCUAAUGCCUACAAACACUCUGCCAGCCAUUGUGCGACCUCAGUCUGGCCACAUCCACCUCUUUGAAAGAGUCUAUAGCUGGCCGCUGAACCUCUAUGAGUGCAAUAAAAAAUAACUCCUUUAUUUGUAUGCAGCUCUGGCUCUAUAAUAGGAAACAAAUAAAGAAGCCCGGGCCAAGGCACACAACAGUCAUCCAGCCAAUCAGCAACAGGUCGUGUUUGCACACUCUGUCAUCUGCUGGCUGCUCUCUCCCUCUUCAGUGUCCUUCCCUGUGAGGAAUAAAGCCGCACUGUUUCAGCUGUGAUCCAUUCCGUAUGAAUAAUAAUUGAAGGUGUCACAUUGAAGAGUGUAAAACCAACUUUCUAACAGAGUUUGUUCAUUCUUCGUAUUAAAAGAAAAAUGCAUAUGUAAGAUAUGAUGCACACAAUCUUCUUACCUCGCACCACAUUGUCUUAUUACUGAGUGUUUGUGCAAGUUUUACAUAAAACUUCUUACAUAAAAUCAAAUUUAAAGCAGUUUUUAAAGCCAACAAAUUUCUAAUGUUGGAAUAAAAUCAUGAGCGUUGAAUUUCUAGUUGGGACACUCUUCUUUGACCUUGGUUGUUUGAUGUUCGCAUGUUUGAUACGUUUUGCAAUUACUGUAAAGUGAUCAUUAAACUCUUUCUGAACUGUUUUAUACAAGUCAUUCUCGAAUCUCGACAUUGAGUCGUGUCAUUGAGAGUCAAGAUCGAACAGGUUUGCUCUGACCAGCUCCAAACAGGAGGCUGCAAACCCUGAAAAACAAUCACGGCUGGGGGGAGAAAGAGCACUAAACUGUGAAAAAAGGAUGCUGAGAGAGUUAAGAAUGCCUCUUUGACCCGUCCUCCCUUUUAUAUCAUGAUAGAGUAGAGAAGGAAAAAAGAGGGACAGAGAUUGCUGUGGCUCUCGACAUCCUUCGUCAGCUAACUGGCUAACCUCCGCCCAGAAUGGAGCUUUGAAUGUAAUCGUAGUCUUGCAGUUGGUGACCCUGCAAGAUCCUCUUUCUUUGUAAAUUCUUUAGGCUGUGAUCAAAAACUCUGUGACUCUGUGACACGCUGAUGUGGGAGGGUACGAGGAGCUAGUCCUUUAAAAGUUUUUCCAAAGUCCUCUAAAGCUUAAAAGCAUCGCACAGCUCAGUUGACACCUCCGUUACCCAUUGUGUAGCACUUGAAGAGGCGACUUGUGUACCGCUUUAGGCACUGAGACCUCCUGGUAUUUAAUAUGUGUUCCUCUAUUUGAUUAAAAAGUGUAAUCCGACAUGAAACAGAUUAAAAUACAUUUGAGUAAAGAGUCAUGACAGUUUUUAUGUACAGCCUCUUUUGUCUACUGCUGUUUGAAAUCCUUCAAUAAAAUGAAAUAUGACAAACCAUGGUUCAAAAAAUGAUAUUUAAAGGGAUAUUCUGGCGUAAAAUUAAUUUAUGGUCAAACAGACCAUAACACCAAGUUAGACACCCCCUUAAGAGAUGAAUGUUGCCGACCGUUUGCUUCUCUAGUUAAACCAACUUUAGUAAUGACCGCACGAUAGCAAUACACAGCGGUCUGAGGAGCCAUAAACUAACCUCAACCAAGAGACUAAACACAACUCACCUACUCUCUUCCAGCAGCCGCUUGUUUGUAGCGAGACCUAAGGCCAGUCCAUCACAGACUGUGGCGGGGUGACGCAGCUCAAGGAAGAACAUUUCUGAUCAUGUGGUCGUUACUCAAGUUGGUAUAACUAGAGAAACAAGCGGUCGGCAACAUUCAUCUCUUGAGUGGGUGUCUAACUCGGUGUUACAGUGUGUUUGACUCUAACUUAAUUUAACGCUGGAAUAUCCCUUUAAAUGAAGGCUAGGUUGUUUUAAAUUCCUAUAACACUCAAGUAAAAGACACGCCAUCAUAAACAGCCUGACAAUAUGGAGGUUUUGCAGCUCCUCAUUUGAGCACCAAGACCAAUAUUCCUCCAACCAAAACGCUCAUUUCAUCCUUCUUGUCUUUGUCUUUCGAUGCGGUGCUCCUGUUUUUCUCCCUCUCAUUAAUUUCUGUUGUUUGCCUUCCUUUUUUUUCCUGUUGAUGUUGCACACGGCUCCUCCUCUCUCAGAUCAAUGCCGUCUUGGGUCUGUGCUUCUGUAUUUUGACAUUUGGCUCCUGCUGAGAGAUUAAUUAGCUGUCUACCUCGGAGAUUCAUGUAGAUGAUGCCUCUUGACAUCCCUCACUUUGUCUUGUCAUCUCUUCCGCUCUCACUUUUUGCUUCCUUUCUUUCUUACCUACAUUUUUGCCCUUUUCAGUCUCGGGUUUGUAACUCUUUCUGGUAUUCUUGUGAGGUACUGUAACAAAGAAACUUCCAAUUUCUGUCUAAAUCCAAUUAAUUCCUCUUCAGUGUGUGUGCUGAGAAAACAAAAUUUGAUAGAUGUCUCCCUGAUGCACUUGAGGCAGGCCGUGUUAUUGAGCGCUUUAUCCGUAUUCAAAGCAUGAGCUCGCCCGUGGGCCUUUACAUGCUGCAUGUACAGUGAUGUAAAGCAGAGGUCACCAGAGACAAAAGCUUAAGCCUUUGUUGCAGGAAGGAUCAAUUACAGUGCUGGAGGACAAGAUCAGGCAGAUUCAGAUAGAUUUGUAGAGCCGUUUUGACACUUUAGAGAAACAUCCGAGCUUUGAUUCUGGUCACAUGUGCAAAGCGAUUGAACACAUUUUAAAUAACGCUGUGUUUUCCCCCUCUUUUUUCCCCCUGAAAUAGAAAGUACAUGCUCAACCCCUUUGGGUGAAAGCACUUAGUACGCAAAAAUACGGCUUUACAUAAUUUUGUGCUCUUGGAAAAACUAAGUGGCAGCAGUUCUUUGCUCUUUUCUCCAUAACUAACAGCACUCUGUUUUAAACUUUCAUGUGCUUCCAGAGCGAGUCCGCAGAAGAGUAAAUGCUGUGGGAGGAGGUCUUGUCAGGCUGCGUUAACCGAGAGCUGCGGUAAGAGAGCAGACAGCAACACGGUUCGUCUGCUGGGCUGAUGAGUUGCAUAUUUUACGCAAUGUUUGGUUAACAUUGCUUGAAGAUGUUUUUAGAGUGUGUUCAAGCCCAACGGGAUUUAUUUAAAUUCCUCACAAAGCCGUAAGAGGAAAAUGAGAAUUUAGAUACAAAAACUACAAUUUUUAAAGUAAGUCGAAACAGCAGCUCGAUGGAGAGAAAAAGCUGCAGAAAGGUUAUUCUCCUUCUGUCUAUUUAUAAAACAGGCUUUGUUGUGUUUUCUUUUUCGUGCUUUAAACCUGCAGUAAGAGGGGAAAAAAACAGUAUGUUCGUGUAUUUUUGCAACUUCUGAGUCAUUCACUUUGCACGACCUGCACGAAGAAGGUUGAAAUAUUGAUGUUCCUCUACAUUUACAGUUUUAUCACACUUUACAGUUUGCAGACACCUUGACAGUAGAGACUUCUUUGACAUAAAAAUUAAGAUUUGAAGGACUUGGAAGUCAAUACUGCAGAAUAAAAUGAAUUAAUGUAAGCCUCAUGUGAUGCAUUCAGCACUAUGUUAUGGUCAGAUUCACUACUUGAAUAUCAGCCUGGCUCAUGAACCGUUCAGUGUGCAAAUGUUUUUUAGUAAAUGUGAUCAAAUGUGAUCACUAACCAUCAUCGUUGGGCUUCAUGACUCCUCUCUGUUGCUUGCUGCCCUGAUUAUCUCUGUCUUAUUCUGUGUUCCAGUUGUACCCGGAAUUUCUGAGUUCCGAGUCAGAAAUUCAUCUGGAACGCCCCCCUGAAGUUGGACGAUCCUCGCCAACCCCGACUUGACAACAACGUCAUAAUCCAAUAUGGCAGUGCAGUUCACCAACAGUAAAGAGUAACAGUGAAAGCUCUCAUAAUGUUUUAUUUAUUAGCACUUCUGUUUUGUUUUAAUGAAAUUAAAUAAGUGUUAUAUGUUGUACUGCCCAACAUCCAACUGUGAACACAGUGCUUUGGUGUUUGUAAAAGUAAAAUACGGUGUUAUGCGUUUUGUAAAACUGGUAUAGCUAACAACAACUAACAACAGCUGAUCAUUGUAAACAGCAGCUAACAACAGCUAACAGUAGGCUUCCAUUUUGGUUUUUCCGACUUGUUAACAGGAACGCCGUAAACUCGGGUGUAACAUCAUUCCCAGCUCCGACUGAAAAGCAGCAUUAGCUCUGGUUGCUAGCAUAACCUGCUUAAUUCCUGGUUCUUGAACUGUAUGUGUGUAUCAUGAAAGAUGUAUCCUAAAAGCAUCAGUAUUAAAGUUGAGAUAAAAAUGA